ensembl:snRNA U6 U6 spliceosomal RNA
UAAGCCUUACAGCAUUAUAUACUAAAAUUGGAAUAAUAUAAGAGGAUAAGUAUGGCUCUGUCAAAGAUGUCAUGAAAACUUGUGAAGUAUUGCCUAUUUUU